rnacentral:rRNA from 1 species
GACGAACGCUGGCGGCGUGCUUAACACAUGCAAGUCGAACGAGUGGCGAACGGGUGCGUAAUACGUGGGUAACUGCCCGAUAGAGGGGGAUAACUACUGGAAACGGUGGCUAAUACCGCAUACUGUCGGAUCACCCAUAUGGGAUUAGUUAGUAGGUAAGGUAAUGGCUUACCUAGGCGACGAUCCCUAGCUGGGCUGAGAGGAUGGUCAGCCACACUGGGCCUGAGACACGGCCCAGACUCCUACGGAGGCAGCAGUGGGGAAUAUUGCACAAUGGGCGCAAGCCUGAUGCAGCCAUGCCGCGGGUGUGAAGAAGGCCCUAGGGUUGUAAAGUAUUUUCAGUCGGGAGGCGUUACCGACAGAAGAAGCACCGGCUAACUCCGUGCCAGCAGCCGCGGUAAUUC